rnacentral:rRNA from 1 species
UACGGAGGGUGCAAGCGUUAAUCGGAAUUACUGGGCGUAAAGCGCACGCAGGCGGUUUGUUAAGUCAGAUGUGAAAUCCCCGAGCUUAACUUGGGAACUGCAUUUGAAACUGGCAAGCUAGAGUCUUGUAGAGGGGGGUAGAAUUCCAGGUGUAGCGGUGAAAUGCGUAGAGAUCUGGAGGAAUACCGGUGGCGAAGGCGGCCCCCUGGACAAAGACUGACGCUCAGGUGCGAAAGCGUGGGGAGCAAACAGGAUUAGAUACCCCUGUAGUCC